AAUAGAUACCCAGGUAGUCCUAGCCGUAAACGAUACUCGCUAGGUGUCGGCCACGGUGCGACCGUAGUCGGUGCCGUAGGGAAGCCGUGAAGCGAGCCACCUGGGAAGUACGGCCGCAAGGCUGAAACUUAAAGGAAUUGGCGGGGGAGCACCACAACGGGUGGAGCUUGCGGUUUAAUUGGAUUCAACGCCGGAAAUCUUACCGGGACCGACAGCAAUAUGAAGGCCAGGCUGAAGACUUUGCCGGAUUAGCUGAGAGGUGGUGCAUGGCCGUCGCCAGUUCGUACUGUGAAGCAUCCUGUUAAGUCAGGCAACGAGCGAGACCCACGCCCACAGUUGCCAGCGUACUCUCCGGAGUGACGGGUACACUGUGGGGACCGCCGCUGCUAAAGCGGAGGAAGGAAUGGGCAACGGUAGGUCAGUAUGCCCCGAAUAUCCCGGGCUACACGCGAGCUACAAUGGUUGGUACAAUGGGUAUCUACCCCGAGAGGGGAUGGAAAUCUCCUAAAGCCAACCUUAGUUCGGAUUGAGGGCUGCAACUCGCCCUC
rnacentral:rRNA from 1 species